rnacentral:rRNA from 1 species
UACAGAGGUGGCAAGCGUUGUUCGGAAUUACUGGGCGUAAAGGGCGCGUAGGCGGUCGGGCAAGUCCUGUGUGAAAUCCCUCGGCUCAACUGAGGAACUGCACAGGAAACUGCUCGACUUGAGUUCGGGAGAGGGAAGCGGAAUUCCGGGUGUAGCGGUGAAAUGCGUAGAUAUCCGGAGGAACACCGGUGGCGAAGGCGGCUUCCUGGACCGACACUGACGCUGAGGCGCGAAAGCUAGGGGAGCAAACGGGAUUAGAUACCCCGGUAGUCCUAGCUGUAAACGAUGAGUGCUGGGUGUAGGGGGUCUUAACCCCCCCUGUGCCGAAGCUAACGCAUUAAGCACUCCGCCUGGGGAGUACGGUCGCAAGGCUGAA